rnacentral:rRNA from 1 species
UGGGGAAUUUUGGACAAUGGGCGCAAGCCUGAUCCAGCAAUGCCGCGUGCAGGAUGAAGGCCUUCGGGUUGUAAACUGCUUUUGUACGGAACGAAAAGCCUCUCUCUAAUACAGGGGGGUGAUGACGGUACCGUAAGAAUAAGCACCGGCUAACUACGUGCCAGCAGCCGCGGUAAUACGUAGGGUGCAAGCGUUAAUCGGAAUUACUGGGCGUAAAGCGUGCGCAGGCGGUUUUGUAAGACAGUGGUGAAAUCCCCGGGCUCAACCUGGGAACUGCCAUUGUGACUGCAAGGCUGGAGUGCGGCAGAGGGGGAUGGAAUUCCGCGUGUAGCAGUGAAAUGCGUAGAUAUGCGGAGGAACACCGAUGGCGAAGGCAAUCCCCUGGGCCUGCACUGACGCUCAUGCACGAAAGCGUGGGGAGCAAACAGGAUUAGAUACCCUGGUAGUCCACGCCCUAAACGAUGUCAACUGGUUGUUGGGGAUUUAUUUCUUCAGUAACGAAGCUAACGCGUGAAGUUGACCGCCUGGGGGAGUA